AAAGAUGAUGAUGAUAUUGGUAAGAAGAAGAAACCAGCAGUUGUGGAGGAGCCAAAGGAACCAAGCCCGGUGCCAGAAACAAAGGCAGCUCAGGAGGAAGAUGAAGAUGAUGACUCAAUGGAGGCCAGAAGAAGGAGGAGGAGGAAAGAGAGAGAGGCAAAGGAAGCUGCCGAGGCAGCCUCAGAACAGGCCGAUGACAGUCUAGAGGAACGUCGCCGCAGACGCCGCGAGGAGAGGAAGGCCAAGGAAGACGCAGAUUCCAUGGAGGUAGAGAGUGCCGCCGAGAGGAGGAGAAGACGUAGGCGUGAGAUGGCCGAUGAUUAGGGCAAAUCCGAAGAUGAAUAAAGAAACCUUAGUCUUUCCCAGGUGCUAUUUAACAAUAGGAAUGCUGCCUAUCUUUUUCUUCAUGAUUUCCACACACCUCUAAUUGCAAUGAUCUACUAGUGGCAAUUUUCUGUGAGAUUAUUUCUUCAAGACUGGGACGACCACAGAGAUUUUUUAUUAUUUAUAACAUAUUAAAGUUUAUUAAUAGCUUCUUUCUUAUUUCCCUCAGUUUUCGAUGUGCAAUGUUGCAAUGUGACUUUUCGAGAGGGAACCCUAUUAUUCAGAGAUACAAUGAACAAGUAUGCUUUUAGUUUAAGGUAUUUAAGCAUUGUGAUGCUAUUAUUGUGUAAUGCUAGAAUCUUUGGUUAAGGUUUGUGAAUCAUUGUCCUUUUAGCAUUUUCGUAUUUGGCUUUUGUACAACAUUUGUGUGACCCCCAG